CGACCGCUGGCGGCGUGCUUAACACAUGCAAGUCGAACGGAAAGGCCCUGCUUUUGUGGGGUGCCCGAGUGGCGAACGGGUGAGUAACACGUGAGUAACCUGCCCUUGACUUUGGGAUAACUUCAGGAAACUGGGGCUAAUACCGGAUAGGAGCUCCUGCUGCAUGGUGGGGGUUGGAAAGUUUCGGCGGUUGGGGAUGGACUCGCGGCUUAUCAGCUUGUUGGUGGGGUAGUGGCUUACCAAGGCUUUGACGGGUAGCCGGCCUGAGAGGGUGACCGGCCACAUUGGGACUGAGAUACGGCCCAGACUCCUACGGGAGGCAGCAGUGGGGAAUAUUGCACAAUGGGCGGAAGCCUGAUGCAGCAACGCCGCGUGCGGGAUGACGGCCUUCGGGUUGUAAACCGCUUUCGCCUGUGACGAAGCGUGAGUGACGGUAAUGGGUAAAGAAGCACCGGCUAACUACGUG
rnacentral:rRNA from 1 species